AAUUAAGGCCCUUCUGGGUUGUAAACUCCUUUUAUCUGGGAAGAAAUGCAUUUUUUCUAAAAUGCUUGACGGUACCAGAGGAAUAAGCACCGGACUAACCUCCGUGC
rnacentral:rRNA from 1 species